rnacentral:rRNA from 1 species
GACGUAGGGCGCAAGCGUUGUCCGGAUUUAUUGGGCGUAAAGAGCUCGUAGGCGGCUUGUUGCGUCGUCCGUGAAAACCCGCAGCUCAACUGCGGGCUUGCGGACGAUACGGGCAGGCUGGAGUUCGGUAGGGGAGACUGGAAUUCCUGGUGUAGCGGUGAAAUGCGCAGAUAUCAGGAGGAACACCGGUGGCGAAGGCGGGUCUCUGGGCCGAUACUGACGCUGAGGCACGAAGGCCAGGGGAGCAAACGGG